rnacentral:rRNA from 1 species
ACGCUCGACACCUACGGGAGGAGCAGUGGGGAAUAUUGCACAAUGGGGGAAACCCUGAUGCAGCGACGCCGCGUGAAGGAAGAAGUAUCUCGGUAUGUAAACUCCUAUCAGCAGGGAAGAAAGUGACGGUACCUGACUAAGAAGCCCCGGCUAACUACGUACCACGCAGCCGCGGUAAUCUGAGCGGGCUGGCAAGGC